rnacentral:rRNA from 1 species
GCAAGUCGAGCGACAGACAGGAGCUUGCUCCUUUGACGUUAGCGGCGGACGGGUGAGUAACACGUGGGUAACCUACCUAUAAGACUGGGAUAACUUCGGGAAACCGGAGCUAAUACCGGAUAAUAUUUCGAACCGCAUGGUUCGAUAGUGAAAGAUGGUUUUGCUAUCACUUAUAGAUGGACCCGCGCCGUAUUAGCUAGUUGGUAAGGUAACGGCUUACCAAGGCGACGAUACGUAGCCGACCUGAGAGGGUGAUCGGCCACACUGGAACUGAGACACGGUCCAGACUCCUACGGGAGGCAGCAGUAGGGAAUCUUCCGCAAUGGGCGAAAGCCUGACGGAGCAACGCCGCGUGAGUGAUGAAGGUCUUCGGAUCGUAAAACUCUGUUAUUAGGGAAGAACAUACGUGUAAGUAACUAUGCACGUCUUGACGGUACCUAAUCAGAAAGCCACGGCUAACUACGUGCCAGCAGCCGCGGUAAUACGUAGGUGGCAAGCGUUAUCCGGAAUUAUUGGGCGUAAAGCGCGCGUAGGCGGUUUUUUAAGUCUGAUGUGAAAGCCCACGGCUCAACCGUGGAGGGUCAUUGGAAACUGUAAAACUUGAGUGCAGAAGAGGAAAGUGGAAUUCCAUGUGUAGCGGUGAAAUGCGCAGAGAUAUGGAGGAACACCAGUGGCGAAAGGCGACUUUCUGGUCUGUAACUGACGCUGAUGUGCGAAAGCGUGGGGAUCAACAGGAUUAGAUACCCUGGUAGUCCACGCCC